rnacentral:lncRNA from 1 species
GGAGGAGAUGCCACAUAGGGAGCAGGAAGAUAGGAUGUGCCAGUCAUUCUCUGAUGCCUGUGUCAUUGGUGUCAUGCCUAUUUUCCUCACCACCCCCCCAAGGGACAUCUGUCAGGACCCUGCAACACCUGUGCUCCUUGCAUUGUUCUGCAGUCACCCUUGUUGUGUCACUUCACUGGUUAAAAUGACCACGAGAGCAUCGGACAUCAUAGCCAUAUUCCAACCGCUAGAAAGAAGGGCUAUGUCAAGAAGGGUGAAACUUUAAGGAUUGAUACUUCCCUUAACGUUCAACUGCCUGUUUCACAAAAGCCGCACUGCUGGGACUUGGUUGCUGUUGGGACCCAGCCCCCACAGGGUCUCUGUGAGUUGUUUUCCAGCAUAAGCACAGACUGACCUGCCUACUUGACGCCAUCAGCAGGCUCUGUAACAACCUUUGAUCAGAGCAUCAAACUGCGUUUCUUUCAUCAACCCAGAGGCUCCCUAAUGCUGGGGUCCACCUCUCUGUCAAACUGGGUAUACCCACGACUGUGACGACAACUUCCACACUAAACAAAGGAGACUGCCUCUCUCCAUCUCUUCUGGAACCAGAUGGACACACAGACAUGUGUGACGUAGGGAGACAUUUGUGAAUGAGUCAACUGGAGAUCUUUCACGUCACAGAGCAAACACCCUCUGAGCAAUAAUAAUAAGUGUGGGUCCAGAAAAUGGGAGUACUGGAAUUGCUGGGCUCAAGAACUGAUCACACACAGGAGUCCAUUUCAGAAGAUUGGCAAGUCUAAAGGGAAGUCAAGUCCAGUUAUCUACUGGAAGCUCAAAGUGGAAACUCAAGCACCAAGCAUGGCACUGUGGGUACUAACAUGGCUGUGGUAGGAAGAGGAUGGGGCCAGUGCCCAUAGCAAG